rnacentral:rRNA from 1 species
CGAGGACGACGCUGGCGGCGUGCCUAAUACAUGCAAGUGGAACGCAUGAUUGAUACCGGUAGCUUGCUACACCAUAAUCAUGAGUCGCGAACGGGUGAGUAACGCGUAGGUAACCUGCCUACUAGCGGGGAUAACUAUUGGAAACGAUAGCUAAUACCGCAUAAGAGUUUUUAACACAUGUUAGAAAUUUAAAAGGAGCAAAUGCUUCACUAGUAGAUGGACCUGCGUUGUAUUAGCUAGUUGGUAAGGUAACGGCUUACCAAGGCGACGAUACAUAGCCGACCUGAGAGGGUGAUCGGCCACACUGGGACUGAGACACGGCCCAGACUCCUACGGGAGGCAGCAGUAGGGAAUCUUCGGCAAUGGGGGGAACCCUGACCGAGCAACGCCGCGUGAAGUGAAGAAGGUUUUCGGAUCGUAAAGCUCUGUUGUAAGAGAAGAACGUUGAGUAGAGUGGAAAGUUACUCAAGUGACGGUAUCUUACCAGAAAGGGACGGCUAACUACGUGCCAGCCGCCGC